GGGAGGUUGGUGGUGGACGAGCCACUCGCCAACCGGGUCAGGUCCGGAAGGAAGCAGCCCUAACGAGCCCCGGCACGGGUCAUCGUGCCAGCCUCCCACCUUCU
rnacentral:SRP_RNA from 3 species